CGGAGGGCGCAAGCGUUGUUCGGAAUUACUGGGCGUAAAGCGCGGGCAGGUGGCCCGUUAAGUCUGCGGUGAAAUCCCGGGGCUCAACUCCGGAUAUGCCGCGGAUACUGGCGGGCUAGAGACUGGUAGAGGCGAGUGGAAUUCCAGGUGUAGCGGUGGAAUGCGUAGAUAUCUGGAAGAACACCGGUGGCGAAGGCGGCUCGCUGGGCCAGUUCUGACACUCAUCCGCGAAAGCGUGGGGAGCAAACAGGAUUAGAUACCCUGGUAGUCCACGCCGUAAACGAUGGGCACUAGAUGCCGGGUCUAUAGACGGAUUCGGUGUCGCAGCUAACGCAUUAAGUGCCCCGCCUGGGGAGUACGGCCGCAAGGCUG
rnacentral:rRNA from 1 species